AUGGCUCGAUUGGGUCAUGGAUUGCCCUUCCGUUUAGCUUUUCAGAUGACUUGGCACUUCAUUUUGCCCUACUCGGCCAGUGCGAUCGGACGGUUCACUGGUACAGUUACAAGUGAUUGUCGCAGCAUAAAUAAUCUAUCAACGGGUUCGUUUGUAAGAACCUGUGACGAUGUCGUUGGCGAAUGCCCUCUGCCAGAGAACAGGCAGCGGCAUGGAUCGGAUCUUGACACUUCAGGGGAGCAUGGGGGAAUUACUAUCACCGCGCUUGGCAGAGGCGGCACAGCAUGCUUUCUGCCAGGGUCGUUCCGCAGGGAAACUCUACAGACAGGACAUGUCGAGUGCUGCUUUAGCCAGAUGUCAAUGCAGGCCACGUGGAAAUCGUGGCCACAGUAA
rnacentral:rRNA from 1 species